rnacentral:antisense_RNA from 1 species
GGAAGGGAGGAAGCGUAGAAGGUGCCGAUGCACUUUUCCUCUCUCCAGACUUCCUGACUGCUCCAAGAAUUUCAUCGAACAAGACUCAAAGAGGCCCAGCUGCUCUGCGUUUUGAUUCUUCUCCCUCUCUCAGUCCACACUGACCUGGGAGGGGCUUCUCAAACACCACAUUUCCUAGCAUGCUGUGAGAAGAGGACUGUGAGCUAAAAAGGGAGAAAAGAUGGAGUCUCUCACUCCAUCCCCCAGGCGCUGGACUGCAGUAGCACGAUCUUGACUCACUGCAACCUCCGCCUCCUGGGUUCAAGCAAUUCUCCUGCCUCAGCCUCCCAAGCAGCUGGGACUACAGGCACUCCCUUCCUCAUCAACAAACACCUGACCUGGGUAGACCCUCUGCUUACCAAGAUCCAGUCCACCUUUUGACAUCAGCAUUCAUGCUGCCUCUUUUUACGAACCAAGCCAAAGUGGUCCCUUCCUCUGGAAAUUAUAGGGUACUUAAUGUACCUCAUAUCCAGCUUCCCAACUCCAGACUGUGGGAGAUGACAUCGAGUCAGCCUGCCUGGAUGUGACUCAGCUCUGCAACUUAUUAAAGACCUUUGGCAAAU